AGCGAACGCUGGCGGCAGGCCUAACACAUGCAAGUCGAACGAACCUUUCGGGGUUAGUGGCGGACGGGUGAGUAACACGUGGGAACGUGCCCUUAGGUUCGGAAUAACUCAGGGAAACUUGUGCUAAUACCGAAUGUGCCCUUCGGGGGAAAGAUUUAUCGCCUUUAGAGCGGCCCGCGUCGGAUUAGCUAGUUGGUUGAGGUAAUGGCUCACCAAGGCGACGUUCAGUAGCUGGUCUGAGAGGAUGAUCCGCCACAUUGGAGCUGAGACACGGCCCAAAAUCCUACGGGAGGGGGGAGAGGGGGAUCUAGCGCAAUGGGCGAAAGCCUGACGCAGCCAUGCCGCGUGAAUGAUGAAGGUCUUAGGAUUGUAAAAUUCUUUCACCGGGGACGAUAAUGACGGUACCCGGUGAAGAAGCCCCGGCUAACUACGUG
rnacentral:rRNA from 1 species